rnacentral:tRNA from 1 species
GGGUAUUUAGUUUAGUGGCACAAGUGCCUGCCUGGCAAGCAUGAGGUCGUGAGUUCAAUUCCUGAUACCCC